GCGAAUUCGCCCUUCGGGGUGCACCAGGCGCGAAAACUCUACAAUGCAGGCAACUGCGAUAGGGGGACAUCGAGUGGCAUCCACCUUGGGUGCCUGUCCAACCGUCUAAAAAACGGUUGUUAGCAAGGGCCGGGUAAGACCGGUGCCAGCCGCCGCGGUAAUACCGGCGGCUCGAGUGGUGGCCGAUAUUAUUGAGUCUAAAGGGUCCGUAGCCGGCUUUGCAAGUCCCCUGGGAAAUCCAGCGGCUUAACCGUUGGGCUUUCAUGGGAUACUACAUUGCUUGGGACUGGGAGAGGUAGGAGGUACUCGGGGGGUAGGGGUGAAAUCCUGUAAUCCUCCGGGGACCACCGGUGGCGAAGGCGUCCUACCAGAACAGGUCCGACGGUGAGGGACGAAAGCUAGGGGCACGAACCGGAUUAGAUACCCGGGUAGUCCUAGCCGUAAACGAUGCCCGCUAGGUGUCACGACGGUCGUGAAUCGUCGUGGUGCCGUAGGGAAGCCGCGAAGCGGGCCACUUGGGAAGUACGGCCGCAAGGCUGAAACUUAAAGGAAUUGGCGGGGGAGCAC
rnacentral:rRNA from 1 species